AAAGGAGGGCGUGCGUAGCUCACGUCGGGCGCUCUGUGGUUAAGAUAAUCGGAGUCAACACUGAUGACCCGGAGAUUUGGGAAAGACGACGGAGACGUGAUCACGGCUGAAUGACCGCAUGGCCCCGGGCUCCACCACAUGAUCAUGGA